rnacentral:lncRNA from 1 species
CCCUGGCCUUGGGAAAGUGAAUUGGCCUGAAUAGCAAGGAGGAGAACUUGGGUGUGGAAAUACCGGAAUCUCACUCUAUUGCUCAGGCUGGAGUGCAGUGGCCACAAAGCGGGAGAUUGGCACGAGGGAUACCAACACCGGAAUAUGUGAUGAGAUGUGUGAAGAGCAUGGCAAUGGAUGCAAACUCCCUUUGUGUUUCUGGCUUUAAGCAGCUCUAUACUCUCAUGCUGUCCUACACUCAGCAGCAAUUUGUCACAAGUUUGGGAAAUUCUUCCUACUCUUUUGAACUCCAGCCCAAUUUCCUUUCUAUCACUGCCCUAGGUCUUACUCUUCCAGAAGAAAAAGGGAAAACCCAACCUGAAUGUCCCCUAAAAGUGAAGAAAUGUCCACACUUCUAUGUGCAGAUUGGUAUCUACAUACAGACCUCUUGGAGGAGUCAGACAAACAAGAUCUUGAAUCUUUACUGAUCU